rnacentral:tRNA from 1 species
GAGAGAGUAAGCACCAACCCGAGAGAUUGCUAGUCUCCCGGGCCCGCAGUUGAAGUCCGCGGCUCACUCA